GGAACUGACUUUGUGUAACAUUUGUACCAAAAAUAUGUUUUUGUAUUUUUUCCUUUGUGGUCCUUUGGUGUGCCUUUAUUGACGAAAGAGUCACUUGCAACAUUAGACGAUGGAAUGUGGCUGAAUGACAUUGUCAUGGACAUUGUAUUGAGGUCUGUUCAUGAUGAACUAGGACGUCAUAAAAGGCAGAAAUCUUUGAUCUACCCAGUGCAUUUUUACAAUAAAUUGAAAAACAGUGGAUUUUCAGGUGUCAUCAACUGGACAAAACAUGAGGACAUUUUUCGAAAGGACUAUCUUUUGAUAGUCGAGAAUGUUCUUGGAAACCACUGGAGACUCAUGAUUGUGUACUUCCCUGGAAACGAAGAAGUGGAACAUAUCAAAAGGGGGCGAAAACUGGUGCAAUCAAGGAGGUAGAUAUGUAUGUUACAUUGGGGUAAUUACAUUCGGUACUAUUGCCCCUACUAUGGAAUAAUGCUGCUACUUUUAAUCAUUUACCUAACAUUUAUAAUAUUCAAUUUCUCAGUGUUUAAUCAGUUGUGUUGUACAUUUAGGCCUUGCAUUUUAAUGCUAGACUCCCAAUCUGGGCAAGUGAGUGACAGCAUGGAUGUGUUUCAAAACAUUCGAAGUUACUUAACAGAAAUGUGGAAAAACACAAGAAAAACACCCCGGAUAUUUUCUGCAGAGUCUAUGCCAGCCCUGAAAUUGAGGGUACCUGAACAGCAAGGAAACACUUCUGAGUGUGGCAUAUUUGUAUUACUAAAUUUUAUUAUUAAAUUUCUGAAGGUAAGUUCUGAAAGUAAAAAGUAAAAUCAUGGCACUGUGCAUGUCACUAAAAGAAAACAAAUGAUUAAUGUUUCAAUUCCUUCCUCUAGGAUCCUCCCAAAGAACUAAUCAAUGAGCUUGACUGUACAUCCUGGUUUACACUGGCCGAUGCAUUUUCAAGGCGUGCGCAGAUCAGGGACAAAAUGCGAAGCAGUUUAUAAGCACAGAGAAGUGAAGCAGAGGAAAACAAAGCAGAAGAAAGAGAAAGUGAAGAAGAGCAAACAGUUAACGAGAGAGGGCAAGAGGAAAACAUAGCCAAGAAAAGAAAAAUAGAAGGUAGAGAUGAAGAAAACAUACCUGAGGAAAGAAAAGAUGACAAAACAGCUCAGGGAGGAAACUAUACAGUUCUGGGAAGGCUGUCAGUGCCAGGCACCAAAAGAAAAUACACAGUGACUCAAGAUGAACUGAAGAGGAGAAUAAAGGCAGAAAACAUGUCAAACAACAUGUUGAGAAACUUGAUUAGGGUUCGUAAAGAGGAUCUCCCUCAGGAGCUCAGAGAGCAAAGGCCAGUAAAAGCCAAGACAAAAAUUUGCAUAUUCUCAGCUCUCAGUGAAGGGGAGGCCACAGAUUUAGCCCAGGAGCUGGGAGCCAUGCUUGGAAGGCAUGUAAACCUAGGCAUGCUUACAGGUGUUCCCAGUGCGCAUGCAGACAUUGCAAAAAAUACACUCUGCACUCUCCAGUCCUUGCUCCGAGAAAAAUGGGAGAGGAAUCUCCUUUUAGUCUGCUGACCCAUACAUUAGGACCCCGAAUCAUAGAUGUUGUUAUCUCAUUUCACGUUUCACGUUCUUUUAUAUUUAUUCAUUUACUUUUCAUUAUUAAUAUUCUAAGUAAAUCUAUGUAACAGUAUUCUGUUUAUAAAGAA